UUGACACGGGUUUUAUUUCUCCUGGCAUGUGUCUUCCUUCUCCAGGUUAAAGGGCACAGAAGUUUGACUGCAGAUCCACAGCACAUCCAAGCACAUGUGGAGGCAAGGGGUUUUGCAGAAAGACAUGGGACUGAAAGAGAUUCCUUUAGGAGGCAAGAUUACUGUUUUAUCACAAGUGCCCAAUCAUCGGACUGAAGCCGAAGACUUGGCAAUCACGAAAUGGACUUCCAGUUUUGCUAUACAAACGACUGUGGGUCUCGCUUUUGCCUCCUGGGAAGCUGAUUGAUGCUCCUUGCUGUAUGCUCCUAAGGUGUGCAAACAUCUGGAGGUAUGUGGUGGGGUGCUUGAUACGAAGAGUUUGCCCAUUCCCUUUUGGGUGUCUACAAAAAGUAAAACACAUUUUCACUAGUUCUUUGGGUAGCUUUCUUAUUUUCCUCUUAUGCAUUAAGUUAGGCCAGGGAACAUUCUAAAAUUCUAGUAAGUACACAACAGUUAUGCCAGGGUACAGAUCCUUUAUAAUUUUUCUAAUAUUAUCAUGUGUUAAUGAACUACAGGUUCUAUUCCAAUGUGCUGCUUCUGUGCCUGCCAUUCCAUGAAGACUUGUAAACAACUAAAAGAACGGAAAUCAUCUUCAAUCUGGCUAUUGUUACUAAUUUUUUCCUGGAGGCUCUCCAUCCACUACUCGGCCUUAGAAAGAAAAAACCCAACAUAUUGGCUGAAGGGUACUUCCUUCUUGAACAAGUAAUGUUUGGAGGUACUUAGUACAGAGUUAUGACCAUUAGAUAAUUUCCAUACAAGGAAGAAUCAGAAGCCCUGAAUAAAAGCAUUUUUGAAAUAAUUAUCCA
rnacentral:lncRNA from 1 species